rnacentral:rRNA from 1 species
UACAGAGGUGGCAAGCGUUGUUCGGAAUUACUGGGCGUAAAGGGCGCGUAGGUGGCCUUUUGAGUCAGACGUGAAAUCCCCCGGCUUAACCUGGGAACUGCGUCUGAUACUGGAAGGCUUGAGUUCGGGAGAGGGAUGUGGAAUUCCAGGUGUAGCGGUGAAAUGCGUAGAUAUCUGGAGGAACACCGGUGGCGAAGGCGGUAUCCUGGACCAACACUGACGCUGAGGAGCGAAAGCCAGGGGAGCAAACGGG